rnacentral:tRNA from 1 species
GGACCAUUAGCUCAAUUGGUCAGAGCAUCGCCCUAUUCAUAUAAAGCGAAGGUCGCGGGUUCGAUCCCCUCAUGGUCCA